AUUGAACGCUGGCGGCAUGCUUUACACAUGCAAGUCGAACGGUAACAGGUUAAGCUGACGAGUGGCGAACGGGUGAGUAAUGCAUCGGAACGUGCCCGAUCGUGGGGGAUAACGUAGCGAAAGUUACGCUAAUACCGCAUACGAUCUGAGGAUGAAAGCGGGGGACCGUAAGGCCUCGCGCGAUCGGAGCGGCCGAUGUCAGAUUAGGUAGUUGGUGGGGUAAAGGCCCACCAAGCCGACGAUCUGUAGCUGGUCUGAGAGGACGACCAGCCACACUGGGACUGAGACACGGCCCAGACUCCUACGGGAGGCAGCAGUGGGGAAUUUUGGACAAUGGGCGCAAGCCUGACCCAGCAAUGCCGCGUGCAGGAAGAAGGCCUUCGGGUUGUAAACUGCUUUUGUACGGAGCGAAAAGGCUCUCUCUAAUACAGGGGGCUCAUGACGGUACCGUAAGAAUAAGCACCGGCUAACUACGUGCCAGCCGCCGCCGUAAUAC
rnacentral:rRNA from 1 species